rnacentral:rRNA from 1 species
CGCAAGCCUGACGGAGCCAGACCGCGUGGGGGAGGAAGGCCCUUGGGUUGUAAACCCCUUUUCUCAGGGAAGAAACCUGACGGUACCUGAGGAAUCAGCCUCGGCUAACUCCGUGCCAGCAGCCGCGGUAAUACGGAGGAGGCAAGCGUUAUCCGGAAUUAUUGGGCGUAAAGCGUCCGCAGGGGGCGCGUCAAGUCUGCUGUCAAAGCUCGGAGCUCAACUCCGACCCGGCAGUGGAAACUGGGGAGCUAGAGGGCGGCAGGGGCAGAAGGAAUUCCCGGUGUAGCGGUGAAAUGCGUAGAGAUUGGGAAGAACACCGGUGGCGAAAGCGCUCUACUGGGUCGCACCUGACCCUCAGGGACGAAAGCUAAGGUAGCG